UACAGAGGGGGCAAGCGUUAUUCGGAAUUAUUGGGCGUAAAGGGCGCGUAGGCGGCUUUUCAAGUGACGGGUGAAAUCCCUCGGCUUAACCGAGGAACUGCCUGUCAGACUGGAAGGCUUGAGACCGGGAGAGGUGAGUGGAAUUCCCAGUGUAGCGGUGAAAUGCGUAGAUAUUGGGAGGAACACCAGUGGCGAAGGCGACUUCCUGGCCUGUUCUUGACGCUGAGGCGCGAAAGCUAGGGGAGCAAACGGG
rnacentral:rRNA from 1 species